UACCACUGAGAUGCACUGAGCAUGCCUCCGUCAUCACACACUGCUGCCCACUGUUCACUUUGGUGAUGGGGUAAAAACAGAGGUCACAUUUGGUUGUCCCUGCUGCGUCAGAAUGCAGUGACCCGUUCAAAAACAGAUGAAAUGGUCAAACCGUUUUAUAGACAGUAGAAACUCUCAGUGGUUUGAACACAGACAUGGGAAAACAUGCAACAGUGACUAACAAAAAACCAGAGCGUUGGCUGCAAAAUGUUCAAAGUAGUAAAGCACAGUGGACUCUUAUCUACAUUAGGUGCAGACAGGGGGCGUCGCUACACACCAGGGAAGAGGCCGUGUCUAGAGAAGUUCAGUCAUUUUGUCAUUGAGGUAUGGACCAAUGUCAGCCGUCGCUCGACUCGGCCCCUUCCAGCUGGCCAAUUGCCUGGGUUUCCUGCCCCGUUGUGACGCCCCAGAGUGCACAGCACGGAGGACCUGCCUGUACUGUAUUACAUUGCUCAAACAGGAACGGCUUGUCCCGCGCCUCGAAAUGUGAAGAGUUUUCCUCCACGAGGACAGGGUGGAUGCAGAACCUUUAAAGGCUCAUGACUGAGUUUCUAUGGAACUGGUCUGUAGUCCUGGCACUGGUUUCCAGUCAGAUGGCGGUCACAGGUGAGUGAGUAUCUGAUCUCUAUUCCCCCUCUUUGGACUGAACAGAUAAAAGUGUGUGACCCCU